UGGUUCUGGCAUNGAUGAAGAACGCAGCAAAAUGCGAUAAGUAAUGUGAAUUGCAGAAUUCAGUGAAUCAUCGAAUCUUUGAACGCACAUUGCGCCCGCCAGUAUUCUGGCGGGCAUGCCUGUUCGAGCGUCAUUUCAACCCUCAAGCACAGCUUGGUGUUGGGAUUCGCGGGGUAACCCGCGGUCCCCAAAUCGAUUGGCGGUCACGUCGAGCUUCCAUAGCGUAGUAAUUUAUUCUCGUUACUGGUAAUCGUCGCGGCCAUGCCGUUAAACCCCAACUUCUGAAUGUUGACCUCGGAUCAGGUAGGAAUACCCGCUGA
rnacentral:misc_RNA from 1 species